CCCGCACAGCGGUGGAGCAUGUGGUUUAAUUCGAAGCAACGCGAAGAACCUUACCAGGUCUUGACAUCCCGAUGCUAUUUCUAGAGAUAGAAAGUUACUUCGGUACAUCGGUGACAGGUGGUGCAUGGUUGUCGUCAGCUCGUGUCGUGAGAUGUUGGGUUAAGUCCCGCAACGAGCGCAAUCCCUAUUGUUAGUUGCCAUCAUUCAGUUGGGCACUCUAGCGAGACUGCCGGUAAUAAACCGGAGGAAGGUGGGAUGACGUCAAAUCAUCAUGCCCCUUAUGACCUGGGCUACACACGUGCUACAAUGGUUGGUACAACGAGUUGCGAGUCGGUGACGGCGAGCUAAUCUCUUAAAGCCAAUCUCAGUUCGGAUUGUAGGCUGCAACUCGCCUACAUGAGGUCGGAAUCGCUAGUAAUCGCGGAUCAGCACGCCGCGGUGAAUACGUCCCCGGGCCUU
rnacentral:rRNA from 1 species